AGUUGUGAAACUGAGUCCUUAUCAGCCUUGGACCGGUUGGUGGUCAGCUCACUGGAAGCUCUAGAGAGCUGCUUUGCUGUGGGUUCCCCCAAUGAAAAGG